GACGAACGCUGGCGGCGUGCCUAAUACAUGCAAGUUGAGCGAUGAAGAUUGGUGCUUGCACCAAUUUGAAGAGCAGCGAACGGGUGAGUAACGCGUGGGGAAUCUGCCUUUGAGCGGGGGACAACAUUUGGAAACGAAUGCUAAUACCGCAUAACAACUUUAAACAUAAGUUUUAAGUUUGAAAGAUGCAAUUGCAUCACUCAAAGAUGAUCCCGCGUUGUAUUAGCUAGUUGGUGAGGUAAAGGCUCACCAAGGCGAUGAUACAUAGCCGACCUGAGAGGGGGAUCGGCCACAUUGGGACUGAGACACGGCCCAAACUCCUACGGGAGGCAGCAGUAGGGAAUCUUCGGCAAUAGACGAAAGUCUGACCGAGCAACGCCGCGUGAGUGAAGAAGGUUUUCGGAUCGUAAAACUCUGUUGGUAGAGAAGAACGUUGGUGAGAGUGGAAAGCUCAUCAAGUGACGGUAACUACCCAGAAAGGGACGGCUAACUACGUG
rnacentral:rRNA from 1 species